UGGCUUUACCGUUGGCUAGACGUAUGUAAACAGAGGCCCACGUUUUUACUAUAAACUGAGGAACAAACUGAAGCGGGAGCAGAAUGCCAGGCUGCAGCAACAGAGGGAGUGUUCGAAGGAGCGCAGCUUGGAGGUGGUAGUGCUGGAGAGGCAUGUUAGUGAGCUGCCCAGAGCGCCUGGGGAAGAGAAAGGCAGCUCUGCCACAGGAAGAGAAUGUACCAGUUUCUUCAGAUGGGAAUUCCCCACAGCUGGUAGCUUCUGCUCCAGUCGAGUGGCAGCAGUAGGUCCUUCUAUCCAGUCCUCUACUAUGCCACGUAUUGCUUCCAGACCUGAACUUGGGGUGAAAGCAGCAUUCUCAGGUGGGACACGAGCCUCGCCGGGCAGCUGAGGGUCUACUAAAAUCACAAACUCUGCCCAGCGUGGGAGAUGGGAACUGUUCACAAGCGAAAGGUCCUGCAUGUAAGAGCUUACAAUUAAUAGUUCUUAUAUGGAUGUGUUUUGGUUCACUUCACAGCUCUGUUUUGGUGUUUUGGGUUUUUUUUCUAUUUUAUUUUAAAGCAAAGACUUAUUUGCAAUGUGGGUCUCACUACUUGCAAUUAUUUUUUUCUGUGCCAGUGAAUACAUUUGAUAAGCACUGAGGUUCUACGAUUCAGUUGUUCUAAAUUAGGUAAUUCUCUUAGUGAGCAAUUUGAGUUGUUAUACAGUACAGACUGCAGAAGCAUUUUUCGUUGAACUGAUUGUUUUUUAGUUUAUUUUAAAGCUCUCCUAAAAACUCUACACCGGCGUGUGUUCGCUGCACCUGCACUGGGGGCUG